GACGAACGCUGGCGGCGUGCCUAAUACAUGCAAGUCGAACGCAGUGGGGACGGGUGAGUAACACGUGGGUAACCUCCCAUCAGAGGGGAUAACACUUGGAAGCAGGUGCUAAACCGAUACUGAUGGAUGGACCCGCGUUGCAUUAGCUAGUUGGUGAGGUAACGGCUCACCAAGGCCACGAUGCAUAGUCGAUCUGAGAGGGUGAUCGGCCACACUGGAACUGAGACACGGCCCAGACUCCUACGGGAGGCAGCAGUAGGGAAUAGUCGGCAAUGGACGAAAGCCUGACCGAGCAAUGCCGCGUGAGUGAAGAAGGUUUUCGGAUCGUAAAACUCUGUUGUUAGAGAAGCGGUAUCUACCCAGAAAGCAACGGCUAACUACGUGCCAGCAGCCGCGGUAAUAC
rnacentral:rRNA from 1 species